GUUUCGUUUUCAGUUUGCUGUUUUCUGUUUUCUGUUCUCUGUUUGGUAUUAUUGCAAAGCGAGAGAGAGAACUUUUUUGUAUGGUAGAAAAAACUUGGCUUGGCUUCGAAAUUGGCCAGGCCGGCAAAGCCCUUCGUUGGAAAGUUGUGCCCGUCUGUCGUAGGGUUCCGAUGGCAACCGAACGGCAGGCAGGCAGGCAGGCAGGCGUUUUAUAUAAGAAUAGUUUGCCCCGAUAGUCGGUCCUAUCUCAGUGCCGCCACCGCCACCGCCACGGCCCCCCCGCUGGAGGCAUUGUCUGGGUUGGGGGCCCUGUUGCUGAUGGAUGGAAGAUCCUUCUUUGGUGGCAAGCUAAUUGCCGGUGAAAACUUCUCAAAGAAAGCAAUCUCUGGGCUCGUCGGAAAAGUUAAGCCUUAAACACAUGUCCUUCAAGCAGGAUUACAGGGUAUUGUGCAUAUUUUGCAUGCCAUUUACCGUUCAUUGUUUACAUAAUCAAUACAAGACACUGUGAAUGCCACUUUCCCCCUAAUGAAUUUCGACAUCAUCAAAGGGAAAUAUUUAUGCCCAACUGUUUGCCUUUGAGGGACAUUCAUGUGUGCAGAAUCAGCAUUUGUUAUCAUUAAUUAAUCAUCACAGGACUUGGGUUUCUAGGUGUCCAAAUUUCAGGCCACCAUUCAUCAAAAGGAUGUUCUUUAUUUGAAUUACUGUUCAUCAUAUUAAAAUCUGUGCACCAAAAGGUUCUUGGAAACGAAUAAAUGUAUGUGGUUGAUUUUGA